rnacentral:rRNA from 1 species
UACAGAGGUCUCAAGCGUUGUUCGGAUUCAUUGGGCGUAAAGGGUGCGUAGGCGGCGCGGUAAGUCGGGUGUGAAAUUUCGGAGCUUAACUCCGAAACUGCAUUCGAUACUGCGGUGCUCGAGGACUGGAGAGGAGACUGGAAUUCAUGGUGUAGCAGUGAAAUGCGUAGAGAUCAUGAGGAAGACCAGUGGCGAAGGCGGGUCUCUGGACAGUUCCUGACACUGAGGCACGAAGGCCAGGGGAGCAAACGGG